rnacentral:rRNA from 1 species
UACAGAGGGGGCAAGCGUUAUUCGGAAUUAUUGGGCGUAAAGGGCGCGUAGGCGGCUUGGCAAGUGGAUGGUGAAAUCCCUCGGCUUAACCGAGGAACUGCCAUCCAGACUGCUUUGCUUGAGGCCGGGAGAGGUGAGUGGAAUUCCCAGUGUAGCGGUGAAAUGCGUAGAUAUUGGGAGGAACACCAGUGGCGAAGGCGGCUCACUGGCUCAUUUCUGACGCUCAGGCGCGACAGCGUGGGGAUCAAACAGG